CUACGGGACGCUGCAGUGGGGAAUCCUGCACAAUGGAGGAAACUCUGAUGCAGCGAUGCCGCGUGAGUGAAGAAGGCCCUUGGGUUGUAAAGCUCUUUCGUCGGGGAAGAAAAUGACUGUACCCGAAUAAGAAGGUCCGGCUAACUUCGUGCCAGCAGCCGCGGUAAUACGAAGGGACCUAGCGUAGUUCGGAAUUACUGGGCUUAAAGAGUUCGUAGGUGGUUGAAAAGUUAGUGGUGAAAUCCCAGAGCUUAACUCUGGAACUGCCAUUAAAGCUUUUCAGCUAGAGUAUGAUAGAGGAAAGCAGAAUUUCUAGUGUAGAGGUGAAAUUCGUAGAUAUUAGAAAGAAUACCAAUUGCGAAGGCAGCUUUCUGGAUCAUUACUGACACUGAGGAACGAAAGCAUGGGUAGCGAAGAGGAUUAGAUACCCUCGUAGUC
rnacentral:rRNA from 1 species